UACGAAGGGGGCUAGCGUUGUUCGGAAUUACUGGGCGUAAAGCGCACGUAGGCGGAUUGUUAAGUCAGAGGUGAAAGCCCGGAGCUCAACUCCGGAACUGCCUUUAAGACUGCAUCGCUAGAAUCAUGGAGAGGUGAGUGGAAAUUCCGAGUGUAGAGGUGAAAUUCGUAGAUAUUCGGAAGAACACCAGUGGCGAAGGCGACUCACUGGACAUGUAUUGACGCUGAGGUGGCGAAAGCGUGGGGAGCAAACAGG
rnacentral:rRNA from 1 species